rnacentral:sRNA from 1 species
GCCAGGCAUGGUGGCAUGUGCCUGUAGUCCUAGCUACUUGGGAGGCUAAGGUAGGAGGAUUGCUUGAGCCCAGGAAGUUGAGGCUGCAGUGAGCUGUGACUGUGCCACUGCACUCCAGCCUGGGCGACAGAGCGAGACCCUGUCUCCA